rnacentral:pre_miRNA from 1 species
CUGCUGCUGCAGCUGCUGCUGCUGAUGUUGCAGCAAUUGCUGUUGCAGUUGCUUCAUUUUCUGCUGCUGCUGCUGUUGCUGCUGCUG